rnacentral:lncRNA from 1 species
CAAACAUAUGCCAUAUCUUAAAAAUAAUCAGAGAGAACAUUGAGUAGUUGGGGUUUCAGAGAAACUCUAGAAUGAGAAAGACUUGUAAAAGUUCAAUCCUGAGUCGGAUGAGUUAGAACAAGAAUCAAAAUGCUUUGGAUGUGCCGGAGCAAGGUCGGAGAAUCCAUGGAACCAUGGAUCUGAGAGGAUAUGAGCAGACAUCAUUGAGGUCAAACCUCAAAACUUUGAACCCCAAACGUUUAAGACUGAAGGGAGGUGAGUACAGGCCAUCCAGGGCCUGAGAAGCCAUGGAUUUCGGUGAGGUUGUGGUCGGAAAGGAUGAGAGAGGCUAGGUUUUCAUGGAACCUUCGAGAGAGUUUGAGAGAGGGAGAG